rnacentral:rRNA from 1 species
UACGUAGGUGGCAAGCGUUGUCCGGAUUUACUGGGCGUAAAGAGCGCGCAGGCGGCCGAGUAAGUCGAAUGUGAAAGCCCCCGGCUCAACUGGGGAAGGUCAUUCGAUACUGUUCGGCUUGAAGAUAGGAGAGGGAAGCGGAAUUUCAGGUGUAGUGGUGAAAUGCGUAGAUAUCUGAAGGAACACCAGUGGCGAAGGCGGCUUUCUGGCCUAUUCUUGACGCUGAGGCGCGAAAGCUAGGGGAGCGAAC